rnacentral:rRNA from 1 species
AUUGAACGCUGGCGGCAUGCCUUACACAUGCAAGUCGAACGGUAACGCGGGGCAACCUGGCGACGAGUGGCGAACGGGUGAGUAAUGCAUCGGAACGUGCCCAAUAGUGGGGGAUAGCCCGGCGAAAGCCGGAUUAAUACCGCAUACGACCUGUGGGUGAAAGCGGGGGAUCGCAAGACCGCGCGCUAUUGGAGCGGCCGAGGUCAGAUUAGGUAGGUGGUGGGGUGAAGGCAUACCAAGCCUGCGAUCUGUAGCUGGUCUGAGAGGGCGACCAGCCACACGGGGACGGAGACACGGCCCAGACUCCGACGGCAGGCAGCAGUGGGGAAUUUUGGACAAGGGGCGCAAGCCUGAUCCAGCCAUGGCGCGUGCGAGAAGAAGGCGUUCGGGUUGUAAACCGCUUUUGUCAGGGAAGAAAUGUUCUGGGUUAAUACCUCGGAAAAAUGACGGUACCUGAAGAAUAAGCACCGGCUAACUACGUGCCAGCCGCCGCAGUAACAC